UAGUAAAAAUUUCAUUCAUUUUUACUGUUAAAAUUGACAUUAUUAACAAAAUAACCAAACAGUUACACUGCUGUGCUAUAUGUACCUCACUUUGAUAUACAAAAACCAAUUUUUAGCAGUAGAAAUGAAUGAAUUUUUUUACUA
rnacentral:pre_miRNA from 1 species